rnacentral:rRNA from 1 species
UACGUAGGGGACAAGCGUUAUCCGGAUUUACUGGGCGUAAAGCGCCCGUAGGCGGCCUGACAAGUUGGACGUGAAAGCUCCUGGCUUAACUGGGAGAGGCCGUUCAAAAACUGUCAAGCUAGAGUCUGGAAGAGGAGAGCGGAAUUCCCGGUGUAGUGGUGGAAUGCGUAGAGAUCGGGAGGAACACCAGUGGCGAAAGCGGCUCUCUGGUCCAAAACUGACGCUGAGGGGCGAAAGCGUGGGGAGCGAACGGG